UUCGGACUGUAGGCUGCAACUCGCCUACACGAAGCUGGAAUCGCUAGUAAUCGCGGAUCAGCACGCCGCGGUGAAUACGUUCCCGGGCCUUGUACACACCGCCCGUCACACCAUGAGAGUCUGUAACACCCAAAGCCGGUGGGAUAACCUUUAUAGGAGUCAGCCGUCUAAGGUAGGACAGAUGAUUAGGGUGAAGUCGUAACAAGGUACC
rnacentral:rRNA from 1 species